rnacentral:SRP_RNA from 14 species
GCUGGCUUCACAGAGCAGCGAGGCGCCCCC